AGGCUUUUUCAGCCUCCUAUUGCAUUGGAUUUGGUUGAAAAAAAUAGAUGGUAAAAAGAAUCAAGGAUGUGGUCAAAGGAAGUAAGUGGGGAAAAGGAUUCAAAAUCGUCAGAUGAGUACUUAUCCUCUUCUCUUUGUGUGUUUUUGAAUCAAACCUGUAAGUAUUGUCAUAUAUAUCUUAAGUUCUUGGGUCAUUAUGUGACAUUACUAUAGGUAACAAUCUAAUUAUCAGAUUUCUUUUUUUAUAAAAAAAGAUUGUUUAAUUUUGGGUUUACGUAAGCUUUUAUUACCAGAUUUCUUUUUUUAUAAAAAAAGAUUAUUUAAUUUAUUUUACUUAACUUUUUAUGUGCUACGAAAUACAACUUCAAUACAAAGAUGGGUUAGAGGAAGCUCAUGGGUACUCCACUCGAUAUAUUUAUAUAUUAAUCUGAUUAAAAAUGUUUUUUUAAUUAUUAUUUUGAAAAUUCAUUAUCAGAAAAGGUCAAGCACUACAAUUCAACUGGUUAUUUGAGAUAGGGACAUUUGUUUUACAUCCUGAUGAAACAUUUUUUGUUGACUUUGAUAAGAUUCAAGAUACUGUUGAGGGGUUAAGUAGGGUUGUACUAACAACACAAGGAAAAGGGGACAAAGAUGCUGCUCGACAACUUCUUACAAAAUACUAUGUCAUGACACAACCUUUAAAACUUGCUUUGAAAAAACUAGAAAUGGUUCCGGUUCCAGUGGAUAUAACACCACCACUACCUUUUGGCAGAAAUUCUGUUGCCCUAAGUGUCAAGUGGAACUCCCUCCAACAUCUUUAGCCAAUCAGGUAAAAAGACGAAUUGAAUUCUUCAUAUCCACAUACUACAAAGGAAUUAUGACGUGUGAUGAUGAAACAUGUGACUAUACAACAUGGAGUUUAAACUUGCGUGUUGUUGGUGAAUCUGAGAGAGGAACAGUAUGCCCAAAUUACCUUCGCUGUAAUGGUCGUCUUGUGAGACGGUUUGGUUUUCAUCUCAAAGUCAAAAACACUAUUUUUGUCAUUACCCUUGAUCAAAAACUAAAAAUUUAAUUUUUGACUAGUAUACGGAGGCUAAUGUGUACAAGCAACUCUCUACUUAUGUUAUCUCCUGGAUGCUGAUCGCUGCAUUGACAAGGUUGAUGCUAAGUUGAAGGCUGCAGUUAAGAAAGAGGUUUGGUUGGAUUAGCUUUUUCCACAGCACAGAAGGUUAGGGACAGGUGUGAUUAUGGUUGGGUCAAACUUAAUGAUCUUUUCGCCUCAAUUUAGUAAAAUAAGGGAUUAGAGUUGAUUAAAUUUAAAUCCCAUUUAAAGAAAUACGAAUUGGCUUUCAAAUCAUGGUUAAGAAGCUAAGCUAACAGAGUUGUGUGGCUUUGUGAUGAAAGAUGAAUGAAGAUGUUAUGGUGAAGCCCUGCCAAUGACACAUAAACUAAAAGCUUCUUUAGCUAGUUCAGUGGGACCCAAUGUGAAGAUGACAUGGAUUAAAUUCAAGAUGGAGAUGCUGAUGAAGAGGACUUUGGUGAUGAGGAUGAUGAAGAGAAAGAUCAUCAAGAAAUAGAUAUCCUUUUAGCAUAGAUCGAUAUAUAUGAGCAUUUUGCUUUCAAACAUUGUUGGGGAAGAAGGUUGAAACUUGCUCUUUGUGAAGAGCUUGAUGAGAGAAUGUGUGACCUAAAUCUUUUAUCAAAUUCUCACUUUUGGAGGUGGCCAUAAGAAAAGGAUCCACCAGGAACAGGAAAAACACAAAAAAAAAAAAUUGGGCUUCUUAGUGCCAUAUUACAUACCAACUGAGUAUCUAAGUCUCUUAACUUUGUAAGACAUUGAUUACUUGAGGGUA